GCAUAUUGGGAUCGGCCGUCCUCACUAGAGGCGUUGUUGUUCUCGUUUGAAGGUGUAAGAGGGGUCAAGUUCAAACCCAACUUAGUAAGUUGACUCGGUGUGUCCGCAAAAACUCAAAUGAAAGAUUAUAAACUCGCUCUUAUCCGCAGUCGCGACUCUUGUUACAAAGGUGGUGGGCAAAGAUAAAAAUGUCAGAGGGGAAGAAACGAGAUACAUCUACGUUUUGGAGAGACACAAACCGAUGAUUUCCCGAGAUGGGCAAAGGUUUUGACGGAGGCAGAAAAUUUGGAGAUACCUGUUAGUCUUGUCCAGUUAAAAGAAAUAAGAAAUUAAAAUAUUAGAAAUAUGGAGCAAUAGUGUAGUUUUCAAGUUUUAAUUUGAGGAAUGGAUACUUUUAAGUUUUUAUUAGUAUUAGGCUAGUUUAUGUGGAAUCAUAUUUUCAUAACCCCAAACUUACACUAGCCUCUUAGAGAGGGACAGAGAUAAAGAGAUAUAUAAUUUAGAGAAAAUAGGCACAAAAAAUAAACGUGGGUCCCAGCAAUAAAAAGGUUACGCGCGCAUAACAACCGAAAACAAUGAAACUCACGCGCGCAGAUUGGCAAAUAAAUUGGGCCAAAUGAGCAAUAUGGGCCUCAAUUUUCGUAAAAACUAUCUAAGCACACUGGGCUAUUCGCAGAAACUCUAAAGGUACCCAACUCAAUACUACCAAAAUACCCAACCCAAUAGUUUAUGUUAAUAUGGCAUGAAAAAAUGUUAUGCGAUGGGAUUAAUUAGAGAUAAUGAAGAUAAAUUGACAGAAAAUAAGAAACAAAAUACCUAAAUCGGAAAUCUUAGUUUCUAAAUCAGAAACCUUAGUUUCCCUUUCGAGAAGAUGAUGAAAUUGAAAGGAAAAUUAUAAGAUGUAGAAGACGACAUCCGUUAGAAUUUAUGAAAACGAGAGAAGAAACAAUAAACUUGUGACUGAACCAACACAAAGAACUUGAUAGAACCUCACCAAAGUGAAUGAAACCGAUUCUAUCAAGGAGAGAAAUAAAUCUAUAUGAGACUGAACCUGAGGAGUAAUACAACACAAUAAGAGUUUUAUAAUCAAGAGAAGGAUCAGAAUCAGUAAUUAGAUUCAUUAUUAAGAGAGAAAUAACAAGAGAACUAGAAAUUGUUCUUUAGUAGAGAAUGAGAAAAGCAAAUGAAUCACUCUUGAAUUACUUAGGAAAGGAAGAAUCCAAGAGUGUAUUUGGCUGCUAUAAGCAGCCCUAAACGUGUUCUUACUUAGUCUACAUUGUGAAUUUAAGACAAGAAUACAAGAGAAAAAUAAGAGAGAAAAUAUCGUGUAAAAUACUUGUGUAUAUUAAGAAGAUUCUUGUGACCAUAUUACAGACAUAUAUAUAGAGAAUUAAACA
rnacentral:lncRNA from 1 species